CCUACGGGUGGCAGCAGUGGGGAAUAUUGGACAAUGGGGGCAACCCUGAUCCAGCCAUGCCGCGUGUGUGAAGAAGGCCCUCGGGUUGUAAAGCACUUUCAGUGAGGAAGAACGCCUGGUGGUUAAUACCCAUCAGGAAAGACAUCACUCACAGAAGAAGCACCGGCUAACUCCGUGCCAGCAGCCGCGGUAAUACGGAGGGUGCGAGCGUUAAUCGGAAUUACUGGGCGUAAAGCGCGCGUAGGUGGCUUGAUAAGCCGGUUGUGAAAGCCCCGGGCUCAACCUGGGAACGGCAUCCGGAACUGUCAAGCUAGAGUGCAGGAGAGGAAGGUAGAAUUCCCGGUGUAGCGGUGAAAUGCGUAGAGAUCGGGAAGAAUACCAGUGGCGAAGGCGGCCUUCUGGACUGACACUGACACUGAGGUGCGAAAGCGUGGGUAGCAAACAGGAUUAGAUACCCUGGUAGUC
rnacentral:rRNA from 1 species